UGAAACUAAACCCUUUUUAAUGAAAUUUACAACUGACACAUAAGGGAUAAUGUGAGAAGAGAGACAAGAGGAUGUGUAUUGAAGAUGAAAAUUACAAGGAUGAUGAGUAAAGUUGGAAGAAUUGCUUUUGAGAAGUUUUUCAACAAUGAAUAUGAUUCUUUGCUUUCGAAGAUAAAGUGUUGGUUAAAAUUAUACAUUUUAUUGUAGAAUUUGAGAGUAAGAUGUGA
rnacentral:lncRNA from 1 species